GUCUCUCUCUGUCCCCCCAGUGCUUGUGAUUGUACUGGGAGUUGUGCUUUUACUGCUCUUAGUGCCACUGCUUAUAUUGAUUCAGCGAAAGAGAGUGAUGAGGAGAGCUCUCUCUGACUGGUACACAGAACUACACAGGACACACACUGAGGCCAUUUAUCACGAGAUUCAUCACAGACAACAUUACUUCACUCAGCAGGAGGGAGAUCAGGAGGAGUAUGAUGAUGUGAAGAACAGCAAUGAAGAUGGGAAAAACCUAGAUUAUGAUGAUGUGGGGGAGGAGUCAAAUAAAGAGGGAGGGGCCAUAUGACUCACCCACUAUCUCUGUUCAUGAAAUCAUAUUAGUUACUGGAGCUAUUGGGACUUUCUCAUAUUGCUACUAAUGCAUCAGUGCCUUUGUAUGUUAUUUCAUUUUUUUUUUAAUACAAAUUUUCAUGCUUUGCAAAAUUUG